UACACUUUCAUAAUUUUUUAAUGAAUAAAAAAAACAAAUUAUGUAACAAUAUUAAUAUCAAGUAGAAAAGCACUCAAACUGCUAUGUACAUGCAUGCAUACAAAGCAUAUGCAAUACAUACUGACGAUCAAUUCUCUAGAACUACUUUCAUGAAGAAACAUGUUUAUUUUCUUAUGUCAAGUCAAGGAGUCUGUUCUAUGAAAUAGCCGCGGACAGAGAAUGCCUUGAAUGUUAGGUUCUAAAUACUCUUCAACUCCGUACUUAGUUUCACUUUUUUUUAUUCGAGUGACAUUGAUGUCUUUUGUAGAUGUAAUGCAAAAUUAUCAGCCUGAAUCUUUGAUGAGUUUUUCUUUUAAAUCUCAAUGAUGUCUUCCUCCUUAUAUCCCAUUAUUUUUUUUCUGAGAUUUUUUUCAUUUCUUAAAUUCAAGUAUUUACUUACUUUUAAGGAAUUUUGAGUAUGUAAAAAGAGAUGACUUGUCUCAGAUGGUAAUUAACUAACCAGACAGAAUUGAUGGCCGUAAUGAAGGGCCUGGACAAACACCACCCACUUUUGAAUGUACGGUUGUCCUUCUUUUUGAUUCCCCUUACGAAACAUGGACUAUCAUAUAUCAACUCGAGUUGGACCUGAUCCUUAGUUCACAAAUAAUUCUAUUUAUUCAUAUAAUAUGUAAAUGUUUGCAAUGACCAUAUACAGUGUAUAUACAGUAAGACAUGGUAACUAGUGUAGACUCAUUGUUACCCUUUGACUUAAAGUACAUUACAUAGUUUUUAAACGAUCACAUAGAAUAAACUUGAUCUAAUGAACAUACUGUUAGUAUGUCAACAAUUUCAACGUGGUCUAACACUUCCAUAUUUAUAUGUAAGGAAACGGGCAUAGGCUACACGCAAUGUCUAACUAUAAUUUUGAUAUCAUCCCAUCCAUAUAUAGAUACUAGAAAUAGCAUAAAAUACAUUUUGCUAUAAGUUCUCUCAAAUUAAUAACAUUUUUUUCUUUGUAAGGCUGUUGAUUACACUUAAUUAAAGCUUAACAAAAAUAGUUUUUAUAUCGAUCAUUUAUGCAAAAUUAAAUACACAGUUUAACUUAAAGGAACCUUAUGCAGAGCUUUUGUUGGGAGUGAGAUAUAAGACUUCAUUUUGUAUUUUUAUCAUAUCAAUUAAAAAAACAAUGUCGUUAUAUUUCUGACCUAAACUGCGCAUUAUCACUGUAAUCAGAUAUUUAUAGAUUAUCGUUGAUCAUCUCAACGAGAUUGAUUUUCUCGCUUGAGCCGGGACGGCGAAAACGAGAAAGGCAAUCGAGUUGAGAUGAUCAAUGAUAAUCUGUUUAUCGCUAUUUUACCUUUGACGACGUUGUCAAUUUCAUAUCAAUUUCGUUAGCAACGCCACGUGCCUGCUUAGUUUCUAGCGAUAAUUUUC
rnacentral:lncRNA from 1 species